GCCGUGACCUGGAUGCAGAUUCUAAGCAGAUGAGCCAAAAUGGGGGCAGCUAGAGAGACCCGCCUGGAACUGACAAGCCUGGAGGGAGCUGGUUGACUGUUGGCGAGAUGGGACAACAGACGAAGAAUAAACGAACCUACUUGAUUUGAUAAACAUUUUUAUGUUUUUCAGUUUCGUCGGAAGACAUUUCCCACCAACCAUCCUGUCUUGAAAAAAAUAACUUUUGAACCCGAUUAUCUGAUAUUUUCCAGUUUCCCCUCACAGCAAUUUGCAUCAAACCUCUUGUCUGUUUGGUAGACAAAACAUGCUGAUCAAAAAGAAUGUGUACCACAGGGGCCAGUGUUUCCAUUUGAGUGAUUGACAAGAAGAAGAAGAGAUGAGAAAUGUUAUCAUCAUAUUUUAGUCCCUACAUUUAUAGUGUACAGCUCAAUGUAUUGAACCGGUGUUGUAGAAUAUAAUUGGAGAUACAUGCGAACAUUAUAACAUUAUAUAUAAGAUGAUAUUUCAAAAGCAAUAAGAAAUAAAAAGUAUAAAAAGGUCAAAACAGUAAACCUUGUGUUUACAGUGGACAGGUUUAAAGUGGAAGUGACUAGUUAACUGUUGAUCAUAAGCUGCACUGAUGGAAAAAAUAGUGGGAAAUUACUAUCUAGAAAACUGUUUAACGUACGACAACAGUUGUGGAACUUCAUAAAUGACCGUACGUAACAGGGCUGUGCAGUUUUCCUUAUAUAGCUAU